ensembl:miRNA Gm24515 predicted gene, 24515
UACAAUGCAGUACAAUACAAUACAGUGCAGUACAAUACAGUGCAGUACAAUACAAUACAGUACAGUACAGUACAGUGCAGUACAGUACAGUACAAUACAAUACAAUGCAGUACA